rnacentral:lncRNA from 1 species
CAAUUAAUUAUUAAAUUUGACGGGUUUGCAUCAGUUGAUAUCAGUUUUUUUGAAUUGAUUGCAGCUUCUUGCAAAUCAGCUCCGAGCCAUUAAAGAGCAGCAGCUUCUCGGCAUAUGUAACCUGCAGCAGUCGUCUCAACAAGCAGAGGAUGCUUUGUAUGCUAGGUCGGAUGGACGAAACUCGGACAAUGUUUGACGAAGCUAAGAAAACCCAUUGAGUUUAGUAAUAGUAUUUUUUUUUAAUAAAAAUGGUUGUUUCCCAUUUCAAUUGUAUGCAUCAAAUAUUUGGGAAUUCUGAUGAUAAAUGUGAA